GACGAACGCUGGCGGCGUGCCUAAUACAUGCAAGUUGAGCGCUGAAGGUUGGUACUUGUACCAACUGGAUGAGCAGCGAACGGGUGGGUAACGCGUGGGGAAUCUGCCUUUGAGCGGGGGACAACAUUUGGAAACGAAUGCUAAUACCGCAUAAAAACUUUAAACACAAGUUUUAAGUUUGAAAGAUGCAAUUGCAUCACUCAAAGAUGAUCCCGCGUUGUAUUAGCUAGUUGGUGAGGUAAAGGCUCACCAAGGCGAUGAUACAUAGCCGACCUGAGAGGGUGAUCGGCCACAUUGGGACUGAGACACAGCCCAAACUCCUACGGGAGGCAGCAGUAGGGAAUCUUCGGCAAUGGACGAAAGUCUGACCGAGCAACGCCGCGUGAGUGAAGAAGGUUGUCGGAUCGUAAAACUCUGUUGGUAGAGAAGAACGUUGGUGAGAGUGGAAAGCUCAUCAAGUGACGGUAACUACCCAGAAAGGGACGGCUAACUACGUG
rnacentral:rRNA from 1 species